rnacentral:rRNA from 1 species
UCGGGAAUUUUGGGCAAUGGGGGAAACCCUGACCCAGCAACGCCGCGUGAAGGAUGAAGUAUUUCGGUAUGUAAACUUCGAAAGAAUAGGAAGAAUAAAUGACGGUACUAUUUAUAAGGUCCGGCUAACUACGUGCCAGCAGCCGCGGUAAUACGUAGGGACCAAGCGUUGUUCGGAUUUACUGGGCGUAAAGGGCGCGUAGGCGGCAUGAUAAGUCACUUGUGAAAUCUCUGGGCUUAACCCAGAACGGCCAAGUGAUACUGUCGCGCUAGAGUGCAGAAGGGGCAAUCGGAAUUCUUGGUGUAGCGGUGAAAUGCGUAGAUAUCAAGAGGAACACCUGAGGUGAAGACGGGUUGCUGGGCUGACAGUGACGCUGAGACGCGAAAGCGUGGGGAGCAAACAGGAUUAGAUACCCUGGUAGUCCCUGAGCGGGCUGGCAAGGCGCAU